rnacentral:rRNA from 1 species
UAGUGAGUUUGAUCCUGGCUCAGGAUGAACGCUGGCGGUCUGCUUAACACAUGCAAGUCGAACGGAGUAGCAAUACUUAGUGGCGGUACGGGUGAGUAACGCGUGAGAAUCUGCCUUCUGGUCGGGGAACAACCACUGGAAACGUGGCUAAUACCGGAUAUGCCUAUGGGUGAAAGAUUAAUUGCCAGAAGAAGAGCUCGCGUCUGAUUAGCUAGUUGGAGAGGUAAAGGCUCACCAAGGCAUCGAUCAGUAGCUGGUCUGAGAGGACGAUCAGCCACACUGGGACUGAGACACGGCCAGACUCCUACGGGAGCAGCAGUGGGGAAUUUCCGCAAUGGGGCGAAAGCCUGACGGAGCAAGACCGCGUGAGGGGAGAAGGUCU